UGCAAGUCGAACGAACUCUGGUAUUGAUUGGUGCUUGCAUCAUGAUUUACAUUUGAGUGAGUGGCGAACUGGUGAGUAACACGUGGGAAACCUGCCCAGAAGCGGGGGAUAACACCUGGAAACAGAUGCUAAUACCGCAUAACAACUUGGACCGCAUGGUCCGAGCUUGAAAGAUGGCUUCGGCUAUCACUUUUGGAUGGUCCCGCGGCGUAUUAGCUAGAUGGUGGGGUAACGGCUCACCAUGGCAAUGAUACGUAGCCGACCUGAGAGGGUAAUCGGCCACAUUGGGACUGAGACACGGCCCAAACUCCUACGGGAGGCAGCAGUAGGGAAUCUUCCACAAUGGACGAAAGUCUGAUGGAGCAACGCCGCGUGAGUGAAGAAGGGUUUCGGCUCGUAAAACUCUGUUGUUAAAGAAGAACAUAUCUGAGAGUAACUGUUCAGGUAUUGACGGUAUUUAACCAGAAAGCCACGGCUAACUACGUGCCAGCAGCCGCGGUAAUACGUAGGUGGCAAGCGUUGUCCGGAUUUAUUGGGCGUAAAGCGAGCGCAGGCGGUUUUUUAAGUCUGAUGUGAAAGCCUUCGGCUCAACCGAAGAAGUGCAUCGGAAACUGGGAAACUUGAGUGCAGAAGAGGACAGUGGAACUCCAUGUGUAGCGGUGAAAUGCGUAGAUAUAUGGAAGAACACCAGUGGCGAAGGCGGCUGUCUGGUCUGUAACUGACGCUGAGGCUCGAAAGUAUGGGUAGCAAACAGGAUUAGAUACCCUGGUAGUCCAUACCGUAAACGAUGAAUGCUAAGUGUUGGAGGGUUUCCGCCCUUCAGUGCUGCAGCUAACGCAUUAAGCAUUCCGCCUGGGGAGUACGGCCGCAAGGCUGAAAC
rnacentral:rRNA from 1 species